rnacentral:rRNA from 1 species
UACGUAGGGUGCAAGCGUUGUCCGGAAUUAUUGGGCGUAAAGAGCUCGUAGGCGGUCUGUCGCGUCGGCUGUGAAAUCCCGGAGCUCAACUCCGGGUCUGCAGUCGAUACGGGCAGACUGGAGUUCGGCAGGGGAGACUGGAAUUCCUGGUGUAGCGGUGAAAUGCGCAGAUAUCAGGAGGAACACCGGUGGCGAAGGCGGGUCUCUGGGCCGUUACUGACGCUGAGGAGCGAAAGCGUGGGGAGCGAACAGG